UAUCUGCUGGCGCCAAACCCUAGCUCGCCCCCAUCUCUCCCUCCCACGCGCCGCCACCUACCUUUCCCCUCGACAUUUCUUCUUCUCUGUGAGCGACCAAAACAACACCGUCACCUCCUCACCAUGGUUCCGUCGAACCGGGCCUCCCCUCGCCGAGCCGAGACCACCAGAACAUCCCCAUCGUCUCCCUAGUCAUCCUCGUGCAAGGAAUCGGAGCAGGAGGCCCUCAAUCGAGCGCAAACUCGCCGAUUCCGUCCUCAACUCCGGCGAAGAAAUUGUCAAUUCCGGCCGCCCUCGUCCUCCCCCGGCCAAACCGAGCACACCACCGCCUUCCCCGCGUCGAGCCGCACCCCCGACGCCAUCUCUCGCAUCCUGGUUUUCCCGGAACGGCCAUAUCCGUCCGCGACCUCCGUCUCCGCCAUGGAUGAACCUGUGCAGCUCGUCUGUGAGUUUUGUGUUCUCUUCUAUCGGUGCUUCCCGUCCUGGAUAACAACAUCAAACUAGCCCAGUGGCUGGUUCCCUCGUACUCAACCUGUUUGACCAAGAUGGUUUGGUCUCCACGUGUUCAAGCAAGAGGUUCUGGGUUCAAUUGCUGCCGGGCAGAACCAGUCCUUUUCGAUCUGUUGCUGGGCUGGCCCGGUCGCCGCCAGAGUCAGCCCGUCGCCGGCGCGCGGCAUACAGCUUCCCGCCGCCUAACUGCAUUUGCUUCUUCCCGGAUAGGAUCACGAAGUGUUGAUGUGAGAUACGACGAGUUCUCCGACAAGUUCUUCUGCAGCUUUUCACAGGCGAGCCCACCUCCUUCACCUAUUUUAUAUUUUGCUCUCCCUCUCACUGCUAUCCUUAUGUUGCGAUUCUUUAUCGAGUCACAUGUCCUAUUCCACUUGUUUACCAUAAUAAUCCUAUAUGUAUCAUUCCUUACCCAUAGCCGUUGCUUGAUGUUUGAGCCUUGCGAGUCGUAGGCGUGUUUAGGCUCUGUUGUUUAUCUCGAUUUGUUAUCGGGAUAUGUUGGGUUGUUGGGAGGUUAUCACAUGCUAUAUCAGUUGUUGGAGAUACACAUGUUUACUUAAUUGUUAACAACUAAAAUUGUAAGCAGAGGCAUCUGUGAGCCCCUUUGCGAAAGCAUCGGAACUUUGACUUGCUAAUGUCCCCUAGGACCCGAGUUCUUGUUAUCUGUUCCGAGAUUGAGCGCUCUACCCGUACGUGGGGGAGUGGGACCCCCAUCACCCACUACCUUUCCUCGAGUCUGUUUAUUGGGAGCCACAACCUUGGUUUUAUUUGCUCAUAUGCACGAUAUGCACGAUUUACUUCCUGUUGCCUUCGGGUGUUUAUUUCUGUACUGUACUCAUAUUGCGUGCCGACUUAUCCUUGGCCGGUCGUUAGUGCCCGCCUUGGACGCCAUCGCAACCUCUGGAUCCGUAUCGGAAUACGGCCGAACUUCGUCACGGGUAGCUUAGUUGGGUGGCUCCCAUUAAACUUUCUCUUGCAUUGGGAACGGUCUUGAUGUGAGACUCCACCUGUAGUAAGUGGGUUCGAGCAUGUGUAUGGUUACAUUUGGGCAACCCCUGCAGGGUGUACAUCUUAUCGAUAAGCCGUGUCCGCGGUUAUGGACGAGUUGGAAUUGUAUGGCUUGAUCAUAGAACAACUUACACCGUUAUCUUGUUGCUAAUAAUCUGUUAAUAACUUGCGUAGUAAUAUAGCAGUACUACAACCGAUACCUAAUAAAACUUGUCCACCGUUGAGUGCCUUUUACAUUGCCUCUUCGCUUUGUUGAAGGGGAUAUGUGUAAUCGGCUGGGUUAUGUUUCUGUAGUAUUUAUCUGUUACCUUGUGCGCUCUCUUAUCUUCUCUGAGUAGACAGAUGUUGUAGUGUGUCUCUAUUGGUUAUAGAUUUGCUGCCGCUAAACCUACCAUAUAGCCCCAGGCGAUAUAUAUAUAUACUCGCCCGGCGAGCAUAGCCAUUUCUAGUCUCGCUAAGUACGUGCCGGAGUUCGUUCCUUGGUACUUACUCUCGCCUUUUCCCUUUCUCUUUUGCUUCCUCCCUUUUGUCGGCAACCGAUGGCCCGACUU